rnacentral:rRNA from 1 species
GACGAACGCUGGCGGCGUGCUUAACACAUGCAAGUCGAACGAUGAAGCCUUAGCUUGCUUUGGUGGAUUAGUGGCGAACGGGUGAGUAACACGUGAGCAACGUGCCCAGGACUCUGGAAUAACCGCGGGAAACCGUGGCUAAUACCGGGUAGGUGCCGAGGCCGCAUGGUCUUCGGUUGGAAAGUUUUUGCGGUUCUGGAUCGGCUCACGGCCUAUCAGCUUGUUGGUGGGGUAAUGGCCUACCAAGGCGACGACGGGUAGCCGGCCUGAGAGGGUGACCGGCCACACUGGGACUGAGACACGGCCCAGACUCCUACGGGAGGCAGCAGUGGGGAAUAUUGCACAAUGGGCGCAAGCCUGAUGCAGCAACGCCGCGUGGGGGAUGACGGCCUUCGGGUUGUAAACCUCUUUUAGUAGGGAAGAAGCGCAAGUGACGGUACCUGCAGAAAAAGCACCGGCUAACUACGUG